GACGAAGGGGGCUAGCGUUGUUCGGAAUUACUGGGCGUAAAGCGCGUGUAGGCGGUUAUCCAAGUCAGGUGUGAAAGCCUUGAGCUCAACUCAAGAAAUGCACUUGGUACUGGGUGACUAGAGGACCGGAGAGGAUAGUGGAAUUCCCAGUGUAGUGGUGAAAUACGUAGAGAUUGGGAAGAACACCAGUGGCGAAGGCGGCUAUCGUGGACGGUUUCUGACGCUAAGACGCGAAAGCGUGGGGAGCAAACAGG
rnacentral:rRNA from 1 species